GUGGGGAAUAUUGGGCAAUGGGCGAAAGCCUGACCCAGCAACGCCGCGUGAAGGAAGAAGGUCUUCGGAUCGUAAACUUCUAUCCUUGGUGAAGAUAAUGACGGUAGCCGAGAAGGAAGCCCCGGCUAACUACGUGCCAGCAGCCGCGGUAAUACGUAGGGGGCAAGCGUUGUCCGGAAUGAUUGGGCGGAAAGGGCGCGUAGGCGGCCUGGUAAGUCUGGAGGGAAAGUCCUGCUUUUAAGGUGGGAAUUGCUUUGGAUACUGUCGGGCUUGAGUGCAGGAGAGGUAAGUGGAAUUCCCGGUGUAGCGGUGAAAUGCGUAGAGAUCGGGAGGAACACCAGUGGCGAAGGCGACUUACUGGACUGUAACUGACGCUGAGGCGCGAAAGUGUGGGGAGCAAACAGGAUUAGAAACCCUGGUAGUCC
rnacentral:rRNA from 1 species